rnacentral:rRNA from 1 species
GAUGAACGCUGGCGGCGUGCCUAAUACAUGCAAGUCGAGCGAACGGACGAGAAGCUUGCUUCUCUGAUGUUAGCGGCGGACGGGUGAGUAACACGUGGAUAUCCUACCUAUAAGACUGGGAUAACUUCGGGAAACCGGAGCUAAUACCGGAUGAUAUUUUGAACCGCAUGGUUCAAAAGUGAAAGACGGUCUUGCUGUCACUUAUAGAUGGAUCCGCGCUGCAUUAGCUAGUUGGUAAGGUAACGGCUUACCAAGGCAACGAUGCAUAGCCGACCUGAGAGGGUGAUCGGCCACACUGGAACUGAGACACGGUCCAGACUCCUACGGGAGGCAGCAGUAGGGAAUCUUCCGCAAUGGGCGAAAGCCUGACGGAGCAACGCCGCGUGAGUGAUGAAGGUCUUCGGAUCGUAAAACUCUGUUAUUAGGGAAGAACAUAUGUGUAAGUAACUGUGCACAUCUUGACGGUACCUAAUCAGAAAGCCACGGCUAACUACGUG